UCUCAGAGCUGACUGACAAAGUGGUGCAAUACUCUGAUGUAUUUACAGCCGAUGGUUAUGAAUGGAAGCUGGCAAUUCAUCCAUUGGGAGUCGGAAAAGUGUAUGAUUACUUGUCAAUUUUCCUGUGCCCUGUCAACGACUCUACUUCGGAUCUGUAUGUAAAGUUCAGUUUAUCCAUUACUAGUCAAAGCAAUGGCAGUAACAGAGUCAUAAGAGAAACAGACACCAAUUCCCUACCAAGAAAAUGUGGGUUGGACUGGGGCUGGAUAAAAUUCUUGCAUCUAAGUGAACUAUACGACCCUGAUGAAGGAUACAUCGUCAAUGAUACUUGUAUUAUUGAAGUUGAAGUUUCUUGUGGGAUGGAGGACUAAAUGAAUAAUGAUAUCAAGGAAAAAUCAAGACCUAC